rnacentral:rRNA from 1 species
UAUUAUAUAAUAUGUAUUGUUUUUGCUGGGGUAGUAAAAGUUAAGGUCUUAAAACCCAAAGAAUUUGACGGUGUUUUAGUCCUUUCAGAGGAAUCUGUUUUUUAAUUGAAAGUGCACGAGUUUUUUUACUUGAGUUUGUAAUCAGUUUGUAUAUCGCCGUUAUAAGAUAAUCUUGUGGAGAGUUAAAUUUUCUGUUUUUUGGAAUUGAAGGUAUAUCAGGUCAAGGUGCAGCUAAUGCUUAAGUUGAAAUGGAUUACAAUAAUUUUAUUUAUUAUGGAUAGUAGAUUUAAAUUUUAUUUGAAGGUGGAUUUGAUUGUAAAUUGGUUUAUUGUCUUUUUGAUUAUGGCUCUAAAAUGUGUACAUAUCGCCCGUCGCUCUCAUUAUUAGGUGAG